UCCUGAGUCCUUGUCAGUUGCUCUACAGCCCAACCACAUUCAUCCAUAACCCCCAGGAGCGGGGGCAGGGCUGGGGGCCAGGGGCUCCCCUAACUGCAGAGGCUAGCCUUACACACCCAGCAACACAUGUCUCCCUUUAUGGCCUGGGCUUUCUCUCGCUGCUUAAAGGCAACUGUGAAAAGAGCAGGGCUGAUUCUGGCUGCCUGGCUGUCUCCUGGCAACAGGCCUGGCAGGAGGACGUCAGUCGCCUCACUGAGUGCCAGAGCCUUCCAAGAGAGCCACUGGGCACUGCCCAGCUGUACCAGUGCCUCCUGGGCCUCAACCCAGUACCCCUCACUUAGAAGGACAAGCUGA
rnacentral:lncRNA from 1 species